rnacentral:RNase_P_RNA from 1 species
GAAGUGAGCCAGACGAUCGUCGCUGUGUAGAUCUCCGUGAUUGAAACAGGGGAGGAAAGUCCGGGCUUCAUAGGGCAGGGUGCCAGGUAACGCCUGGGCGGUGUAAACCGACGGCAAGUGCAGCAGAGAGUAGACCGCCUCCAUCAACAUUUCUUUUCGAAGAAGUGGGAGGUAAGGGUGAAAGGGUGCGGUAAGAGCGCACCGCGUGUCUGGUAACAGUUCACGGCAAGGUAAACCCCACCAGAAGCAAGACCAAAUAGGAAUCCUGAGGCACGGCCCGUGCUGGAUUCGGGUAGGUCGCUUGAGCGUACGAGUGAUUGUACGCCUAGAGGAAUGAUCGUUCACGACAGAACCCGGCUUAUCGGCUCACUUCAAUA